GCCUGGGGAGUACGGUCGCAAGAUUAAAACUCAAAGGAAUUGACGGGGACCCGCACAAGCGGUGGAUGAUGUGGAUUAAUUCGAUGCAACGCGAAAAACCUUACCUACCCUUGACAUGGAUGGAAUCUCGGAGAGAUUUGAGAGUGCCCGAAAGGGAACCAUUACACAGGUGCUGCAUGGCUGUCGUCAGCUCGUGUCGUGAGAUGUUGGGUUAAGUCCCGCAACGAGCGCAACCCUUGUCAUUAGUUGCUACGAAAGAGCACUCUAA
rnacentral:rRNA from 1 species